GCGGCAGUGCUCCCCUCCUCUCGUGCCGUGCGGGAAGAACGGGGAAGGUUUUGCUCCGAGAGGCAGGAAGAGCUGCCGCAGGCGGGCGCUGAGUGGGCCGGGGGGAUCCCACCGCCCCGCAAAGUCCCGCUGCACAUUCACCGCGCGCCCCGGCGGCAGUGGUGGCUGCUGAUGUUAUCGCCGUCCCCGCUCGGUGACUAAGGCAGCUGGAAGGUACAAGUUAAACAGCGCAGCGCGCCAAGUCACCUGCUGUGUGGGUUUGUCCAAAGCAGUGCCGCGUUAAUUAAGACAGAGGGUUUAAAAUCUAACCUUUGUUUAUUGUGCUUUGGGGCAUAGAAAAUGUAAAUAGGUGUUUUCAAACACUGUGGCUUUUUAUAUUUCCAGUUAUGAUUCUGCACAAAGGGAAGUUUGUCAGGCUUGGCAUGGGCUCGCCCUUUACCAACACUAUCCUGCAGCUCGUGCUCCCCUUGGGGCCGUCUGCGCUGCCCCGCUCCGCUCCCUGCAGCCUUCUGAGUGGGACAUCCCAGCUCUGUGGGGCUGCUCCCCGUCCCCCGCUCACGGCCCAGCCACGCUCAUCGAGAGGAUCCCGCUGCUGCUCCCCAUCCCCUCCCCUUACAACUUAGUAGGGAUGUGCUGAAUGUUCUGCUCACUUCUGUUCCUGAAGGUGCUUUAUGCCCUCUCGGUUUACUGUAAAAAUAACCAAAAGGAGUUUGGCCUCCUCCGUACUGAUCAGGAUUUCUUCGAUGACUCAGUGAUACGCUCGGGUGGUUCCCUUCGCCUUUAAUUGAAGUGAGUGUGAGCCCUCCACGAAGAGCCCUCUCGCAAAGCCCCGUUAAUAAGCGUUAACAAAAAUAACCGAGCAGCCGGGAGAAAAGUGCCGCCAGCAGCAGCGAUUUCCCUCUCUGUAAGGGUGGGGUUCCUCUCUCAGCUCUCUGCGGCAGAUCGGAGUGCAGGGCAGGAGAUGACAGCUGCCCGGUGCCCCAUUUGGGCACAGCAUCCCAAACAGGAGCUGCCCGGGGUGGGCUGCGGGGACGCCCAAUACCACCGCCCAGUGCAGUCCUUCAUUUGUUGAGCUCUGUGGAACUCUUUUUUGAUGGCAACCGGAUUUUGGCCUUAUCACUCAUCUCCCACACAGGGGUUUUGAGGAAAAAACUGGCAGAUACCUGAAGGCGCACGAAACAGCUGCAAGCGCAGACGCUGGCACAAGUGCUGCUGUUGUGCAGCAGGGUUGGGAGGUGGAGAAACGCAGUCGGUCCUUUACACCAGGAUGCAGCACUGGGGUCCCUGCCGCGUCCCCUGUGAGCCAGCACACCGCUGCAGCAGCGAACCCAGCCUGCCCAGCGUGCUGCCCGGACCGUCCUUUGCGCUAUCGAUCAUCCGACGCCCAGCAGAGUGAAAGCAGCGCCCAGCUCCCCGCUGAGGGGGGCAGGAGCACGGGACGCAUCACUGAGGUGAACCAGACGGAGCCCCCACGCUGAGCUCGGGCUCCGUGGAAACCGACGGUGACAAACAUCGGUGCGCGUCUGUGCAUAGCGAUGGGGCAGACGCUCACACGGCCAGGGGCUGAGCGCGGCGCCGCGGGGCUGGGCCUGGGAACGGCCGAGAGGAGCUGCGGGCAGAAAGGGAAAGCGCCGUCCUCAGCCCGGGCUCCCCGUGUCCCGGCUCCCAGACGCAGCCCCGUCCCUGCAGGCAGCGCCGCGGCUCCGAACCCUCACACGGCCGCGUCGGACCCACACGUGCGCGCUCCCGGCAGCGCCGUGGGGCAGCGGCCCCCCCCCCGGAGCGCGGCUCGGCCCCAAUCCCGCCGCUCUCGGGGCUGCGCUUGAUGUGUGUAAACACAUAAUUAAGG
ensembl:lncRNA